UACAGAGGGUGCAAGCGUUAAUCGGAAUUACUGGGCGUAAAGCGUGCGUAGUCGGUUAUUUAAGUCGGGCGUGAAAGCCCCGGGCUCAACCUGGGAAUUGCGUUCGAUACUGGAUAGCUAGAGUUCGGCAGGAGGGAAGCGGAAUUUCGGGUGUAGCGGUGAAAUGCGUAGAGAUGUGGAGGAACACCGGUGGCGAAGGCGGUUCUCUGGGCAUGCCUGGACGCUGAGACGCGAAAGCGUGGGGAGCAAACAGGAUC
rnacentral:rRNA from 1 species